AUCGCAGUGCACCGAUUAUUGUUUAUUUAUUUGUGAGAGAAGCCUCAAGCUUGAACUGUGAUCUGUGCUGCCGCGGCACAGCUCCGUGCAGCCCUUUCAUUUCCCAAGCAGUGCAGGGGACACUCACUGCACUACUCCUCGGCAGGAACUCCCGUCUUCCUCGGCUCCAGUCCACAGCUGCCAGUGCCUCCCAUAAUUACACUUACACAGUGGACGAUGAGGGUGCAGCUACAGGAGCUCGGAGUUGUUGCACUGCUGUUCGGGAUCUUUCUAGAAUAUCCUCUACUAUUUACGUGUGAGCUGAAAUGACAUCUGGCAGGUAUUCCAUGAACGCCAAUAUACUGUCAUAUAUCAUACAUCCCAACUUUUCGAAAAGGACGCGGCCAGGACUGUCAGUAGCUGCAAUGGGGCCGGGUACUGGGAGCAUGACCAAAUUGGGGAAGAGCGGCACGCUCCCUUACCAAAAUUUUGUGAAACAGUACUAUGUGCGUUGCCGCACGCUGGAAAGGGGGGUGGAUUCGUCCCACUGGCCCAGUGGGUAGAUCCAGGGGCAAGGGGGGUGAUCAGUGCGCACCCUUGUAACAUCUGCAGGGGGAAAAAGAGGAGACUGCUGCUUCUAGGUGGCAGCAGCCUCCAUGGACCAUCUGCCGCCCAGCACAGAGCAGCAUUUGCUGGGCUGGGGAGAGGGACUGCUGCUGCUAAUGUACUACUGCCGCUGAGUAGCAGCAGUCUCUUCUCUUUACCUCCCCGAUGUACAACUGACCCGGAACCCUCCAGCUGAUAAGCAGUACCUGGACCCCCCUCUUGGCACCCCUGGUGGCCACGCAUCAUGCCCCCAUUGUGCAUCACACUGGGGGCUUAACCACUGUGCAUGCCCAUGUUUCAUCUAGCACCAAGACCCCUUUCACAGGAGACACAUACAAAAGAUUUAACCCAAAAUUUCAGUCUUAGAAAUAUGGGUGAAUAAGAUUUUUAUUCCAAAAUGGAAAGUGUCAAAAUGUUUAUUUACUAAAUUCACAUAUUUAUGCACAUGGAAAAGGGAUCUUACAAUCAGGAUUUAUAAGAAUGCAAGAAGAGUAUGUGAAUAAUGUAGAAUGUGUUUUUCUUAACUAUAACAGCAGAGGAAAUUAAUAAAAGCCUUUUGCAAAAACACUAAAUUAUUAAAUGUUGAAGUGGCUAAAAUAACUAUAAAGAGAACAGAUAAAACAGUAUGGUUCAUUAGGCCGACAGUAAAAAGGUCGACCCCAUAAAGUCGACUUGCAGAAGGUCGAUGUAAGAAAAAGGUUGACACAAGCAAAAGAUCAACAUGAAACUGGUCAACACAUAAAAAUGUCGGCAUGGUUUGUUUUUUGUUUUUUUAAGGUGUCAAUUUUUAACUUUUAGCACAUGGACUCACAAUGAGUAUAUCGCUUGGCU